GGUCAAUGUUCAGAAAUUUGUGGGGCAAAUCAUUCUUUUAUACCUAUUGUUUUAGAAAUUGUUUUAUUUGAUUUUUUUAAGUUAAUUUUGAUUAGCUAUUAAUUUCUUUAGAAUAUUUUAUUGUGAUUAAAAAAGAUUUUAGCUAAUGUUAUUUUUUAAAUAUUUUUUAUUGUUGAAGAAAUUAGGAUAUAUUUAUAUAUUUAUAAUAAUUAAAAUUUUAAAAAAUUUUUUAUUUGAUUUUUAAUUUUAUAUAAAAAUUAUAAUUAUUAAUAUAUAGAAAUUUUGAUUAAAAAGAUUUUAAUUUUUUUGUUAUAUUUUUUAUUAUAAUAUUUUUUUUUUUUAAGGUUAAUUUUCAUUAAAUAAUAAUUUAAUUAUUAUUAUUCUAUUUAUUAUUUAUUAUUAAAUUAAUAAUAAGUUUGAAUUAAAUUUAAUAUAAAAUAUUUCUUAAAAUUUGAGAAAAUUUAGGUUUUGAUUUUUUAUUUCUACUCGAUGAAAAUUAAAUUGUAUCUUUAGCGGGAUUGAUCAAAGGUAGCAUAGUAAUUUGUUUUUUUAUUGGAUUCUGGGAUGAAGAAAAUUAUUAUAUUAUAUUUAAUAAUUUUUAAAAGAAAUUUUUAAUUAUUUAAAAAUUAAUAAUUUUUAUAAAACUAAAAAAAGUCUUUAGAAAU
rnacentral:rRNA from 1 species